UACGGAGGGGGCUAGCGUUGUUCGGAAUUACUGGGCGUAAAGCGCACGUAGGCGGACUGUUAAGUUGGGGGUGAAAUCCUGGGGCUCAACCUCAGAAUUGCCUCCGAUACUGGCAGUCUCGAGUGCGGGAGAGGUGAGUGGAAUUCCCAGUGUAGAGGUGAAAUUCGUAGAUAUUGGGAAGAACACCAGUGGCGAAGGCGGCUCACUGGCCCGUAACUGACGCUGAUGCGCGAAAGCUAGGGGAGCAAACGGG
rnacentral:rRNA from 1 species